UGCAGCACUGCUCAUGACAUUUUGCAGCACUGGAUGGAUGUGAUGGUACGAUAGUUUUCAAUGAUACACUUGUCACCCUUCUUAUGCACUGGGAACAUCGUUGACGAUUUUUCCAAAAAAUCGGGAAAAAGUGCCAGAAUCCAAAGAUGCUUUAAAAAUUUGUAGAAGUGGUGCGAUGAAGAAACUUCUACAUCGCUUAUAAACCACAGACGGAAUGCCAUCUGGCCCAGGAGUUACGUAUUAUAUCUUCCAUGGUCUUUGCAGAUAGGUAGAUGUCAGAAAUCUGGAUAUCAACCGAAACACGGCUUAACGCAGCGCCCUUUGAGGAAGCGAAGAUGUUCAGGCGAAGAUGUUCAUUAAACCACAGUGGACCAACAUGGGAAAUGUAGAUGACUUAUCGGUUAAAGAAUUCCAGAUCAUGUUACCAAGUAACAUUGAGAGCAUGUUAGUGUUGAGGCGCCUGUAAUUUAAUCUUUUCUUACGUUCUAUGGUUGGUUUAUUAUUAUCAAUAUUAAUACUGUUUACCGAUGGACAGUCAAGGGUUAAAAAUAAGGCUGGAUGAUAACAAUCUUCUACUGUCAAUCUAUGGAUAGCUAAAUCAGUUGAGAAGUUGUUUUGUUGAUCCAACAAGGAGUCAUCCACAAACACCAAGUCCAAUAUUGAGCCGAAUGAGUUUGUCUUAGUGUUAACCUGUGUAAGAUCGACGACACACGAUGCGUAAACUUUGGCGUAAACUGGAUUUCAGCCAUACAACCCUAUGAUUUUUUGACAGGAAGUUUACGCUCUCCCAUACAAAUCAAGCGUAAACUUUCUGAGUUUAGGUUUCGUGUGACGUCCGUAUAAGGCAUGAAAAGGUAAUCUCAUCUAGUAGUAGUGCGAACGUGGAAGAAAUACGUGAUCAUUGAACAUCCAGCACAGUGGCAGUGUUUUCUUGUAUGGACCAGCUCAAGGUUGACUGAUUAAAAUCCCCCAUUAGUAUGAUGCUAUCGUCUUUGAAUUUAUCUCUAAUGAAGCUCAAGGAUGCACGUCAUGCAUUAAUUGUGGCCGCAUCCGCGCAGCGAUCUGGUGGUAAGUAUAACACUCCGAUAAUGAGCGAGCCCAUUACGCGUACCCAUAACAACUCGAUUGUUGGUGUAUUAGUGAAAGAAAUUGAAGACUUUGGAUAUUCGCUCUAACCGCGAUCAAAACACCACCAUCCAGUGGCGGAUCUAACGGUAGGCGGACUAAGCGGUCGCCUGGGGCCCCGCCGACUUAGGGGCCCCGUAGAUCGCUAGUCUAUAGUAUGCCGUAUGGACAAAGUACUAGCGACAAGGGCCCCCGGAAGGAUGAACGUUUGGGCCCCGAGGCUGGCGAGUCAUUUGCACCCCCCCCCCCCUCCACCGCGAGCAAAAAAAUUAGUGCUUGUAACGUAUCGUAGGGGCCUCAAGAUGGACUUGAGACCUGUUCAAUUACCCAACCAAA